CCACACGGCCACACCCUUUCACACUUCCAACACCGCUGCCGCAGCCGUCGCCGGCGAGACCCGUACCACCCACCGACCCUCUCACCGAUGGCGGCGGCCGCGAGGGCCGCUUCGGCGGCGCGCUCCCCGCUCCUCGUCCACCACCACCGCCGCCGCCUCCCCCAGGUGCCGUCCGGCGGGGGAGGCUCGCUCCGGGUGGGCGGGGCCGGACGCGGGCGGGAUGAGGGGCGGAGGCGGGCCAGGGCCGGGGUUAGGGUCUUCGCGCGCUACUCCCCGGCCCAGGACUUCUCCACGCGCUUCCAAGAUAGAGUUGGUGAGUUGCCUAAAUUGGUGGAGGACCUUCUCCAGACGUCGAUUAGCACAGGGCCCCGAGGUGCUUUCAGGAUGGCGCAAGGGAUCCAAGCUGUGCUUGGGGUUGGUGGGGAGUGGCUGAAUGACCUCUCAAAGACUGCUAACACAUCAGCAGGAAUUCCAGCUCAGAUGCAGCUUGGUUUGCUUUCUCCUCUUUACCUUAGGAGGCUUUUUGAGCGCAUGGGUGCAACUUAUAUCAAGCUAGGCCAGUUCGUAGCAUCUGCACCAACUUUGUUUCCUGCAGAAUAUGUUGAGGAAUUCCAGAACUGCUUUGACCGAGCACCAGCUGUACCUUAUGAUGUGAUUCAGUCAAUAUUGCGUGAGGAGUUGCAGCGACCAUUGGAUAGUAUAUAUGAAUACAUCGACCCGGUGCCAAUAGCUUCUGCCUCAAUAGCACAGGUUCAUGGGGCUAGGUUGAAGAGCUCUCAGAAGGAUGUGGUGAUUAAAGUUCUAAAGCCUGGCAUUGAAGAUACUUUGGUUGCUGAUCUGAAUUUUAUCUAUGUCGUUGCACGAGUUUUGGAAUUCUUGAACCCUGAGCUACAGAGGACAUCACUGGUAGGCAUUGUCAAGGAUAUAAAGGAAUCAAUGCUUGAAGAAGUUGAUUUUAGAAAAGAGGCUGCAAAUAUUCAGGCUUUUCAGGGAUACAUAGAUGCUAUGGGAUUUGACAGGCAGGCAAAAGCCCCAUUUGUGUAUCAGCACUGUAGCACAAAACGUGUGUUGACUAUGGAAAGGUUGUAUGGAGUUCCGCUUACUGAUCUUGAUUCUAUAAGAUCUCUUGUUCCGGAUCCUGAGUUGACUUUAGUCACUGCCCUUAAUGUCUGGUUUGGAAGCUUGAUUUCAUGUGAAUCCUUCCAUGCCGAUGUGCAUGCUGGGAACUUAUGGUUGCUCCGUGAUGGGCGAAUUGGUUUCAUUGAUUUCGGUAUUGUUGGUCGCAUAUCCCCAAGGACUUGGGCUGCUAUGGAGGUCUUUUUGGCUUCUUUUGCAACUGAGGACUAUGAUGCUAUGGCCUCUGCCCUUUCUGAAAUGGGUGCUACAGGGAAUGAUAUAAAUAUUGAUGAAUUUGCAAAGGACCUGCGAAAGAUAUUCUCAUCAAUACAGGACUUGGAUACUGAAAUCAUAGUCGCAACAGCAAGAGGUCCUGAUGCUACAGCAGUAUCUGCUAAUGUUGUCCUUGAUGAGAGACAGAUGAAUGCUCUAUUUCUUGAUCUGGUGAGGGUCAGUGAGUCCUAUGGGCUGAAAUUUCCUCGGGAAUUUGCUCUUCUCAUGAAGCAGCUACUGUAUUUUGAUCGCUACACAAGGUUGUUGGCUCCCAGCAUGAACAUGCUUCGAGAUGAGAGAAUCAACAUCUCGACCAACCGACAACCCAGACGAACAGAUCGGUUUCAAUGAGGCCCCUUCAUUAAUAAUUAGCAAUAUAGUUGAAGGGUGAUAAUAGCAAGCUUAUGUGACCAAACACUGUAUCUGUAUAUAGUUGUAUAUAGUAGUGCCAGACCAGCAUAGAAAUCUUGUACACUAGGGUUAUGCCAUAGUGACUAGGUAACAUGUAAAAUAUGUUUGUUACGUCCCAGUAGACUUUAACUGCCUUGUUCCUGGUCGAGCGGAGUCAGGUUAUGAUGUGGCUGUACUGUACUGCAACUGUCAACCGAGGAAGUGAUGAUGUAUAUGUUUGUAAAAGCCCAACGGUGCAGGUGUAUCAUGUGCUAAAGGGCACCGUGUUUUGUUGCAUUUUCUCAGGGUCACAACGAUCUUUGGGGAUUCAACUAGGAUUGUACCGCGUAAGGUGACUUUCUGGCCCCUUUACUGCUGUGGCCUGCGAAACAGGGUUCAGUGACAUUGACUCGGAAAAUAUCAGCUCAGGUUCGAGCUUCGAAUAAGUACCAGAAUUCACAUUUUA